UACGUAGGGGGCAAGCGUUGUCCGGAUUUAUUGGGCGUAAAGAGCGUGUAGGCGGCCAUGUAGGUCCGUUGUGAAAACUCGAGGCUCAACCUCGAGACGCCGAUGGAAACCCCCUGGCUAGAGUCCGGAAGAGGAGAGUGGAAUUCCUGGUGUAGCGGUGAAAUGCGCAGAUAUCAGGAAGAACACCCGUGGCUAAGGCGGCUCUCUAGUACGGUACUGACGCUGAGGAGCGAAAGCGUGGGUAGCAAACAGG
rnacentral:rRNA from 1 species